AGUGAACGCUGGCGGUAGGCCUAACACAUGCAAGUCGAACGGCAGCACAGUAAGAGCUUGCUCUUACGGGUGGCGAGUGGCGGACGGGUGAGGAAUACAUCGGAAUCUACUUUUUCGUGGGGGAUAACGUAGGGAAACUUACGCUAAUACCGCAUACGACCUACGGGUGAAAGCAGGGGAUCUUCGGACCUUGCGCGAUUGAGUGAGCCGAUGUCGGAUUAGCUAGUUGGCGGGGUAAAGGCCCACCAAGGCGACGAUCCGUAGCUGGUCUGAGAGGAUGAUCAGCCACACUGGAACUGAGACACGGUCCAGACUCCUACGGGAGGCGGCAGUGGGGAAUAUUGGACAAUGGGCGCAAGCCUGAUCCAGCCAUACCGCGUGGGUGAAGAAGGCCUUCGGGUUGUAAAGCCCUUUUGUUGGGAAAGAAAAGCAGCAGGUUAAUACCCCGCUGUUCUGACGGUACCCAAAGAAUAAGCACCGGCUAACUUCGUG
rnacentral:rRNA from 1 species